ensembl:lincRNA
CAGCUGUAGGAACUGCACACACCAUCGAUUUAUCCAGCCCAUGGCAUAGCCAUCCGGUCAGCCACCCAUGCACUUAGCACACAUACGUUGAGUGUGUCUGUGUUAGCUGCCAGACUGUGAGAGUGAACAGUGAGUACCUGCCUGGAGCUCUCCAUCCCUGGGGCGGCGGACGUGGGGUUUCCGGUUAGGGAUGUUUUUUUGCUUUGACUGUAGGAAUGAGGCAUUUGGAAAGGAUUAUGGGAACAUCCACGGCUUGUCAGUUCUUAGUGACAGGAACAAGAUACAGAUUAUUGCAAGACAGUUGUGAGUCUAUGCAGCCAGCUUCUUUCCUGAGGGCUGUCCUUGCUGCCGCCUCUGCCAUCACCCCACAAGAAUGUAGUGCUCUUAACUCUGUCCAGUGAGUAGGCAAAGGGAUAGGUCCAACCAGGAUGCCUUUCUGGGGAGACCUCUACCUUCUUCUCCAUACAGCAAGGCCCUUGGCUACUCCUGUCAUUCAGCCUGGCUGCCUGGGCUUCUAGUCCAUCUGCUGUAUUAUUGGUGGUAGCUAGGGUACCUGCUUGCUCAGGGGGUCUGGCUGAUUGCAAACUAUGGACCAUUCUUUUUUGAAUUUUCACAACCUCACCUAUGGAAGGAGAAUAAUGAUGGCAUGGCCCUUCUUCCAGGGUCACAACCCAGGAAGAGAGAAACCAUUACUGAAGCCCAUACUGCUCAGACCCUGGUACAUACAACUCCUCCCUUGAGGAAGGUGAUACUGAAAACUGGACAGAGUGCAAUUCCUCCUAGGAACUCUCUGGAAAUAUGCUGGCUGAGCCUUCUGGCUACACAACACUGGAGUGUUUGGCCUAGCAGAUACACUGGAAUCCCUUCAGGGGGUCUCCAUGUUCUACUUCCAGAGACACUGCUCCUGGGGAUGCCAUGGCUUAGGAGGGGGAUCCAGACCCGAAUUGUCUUUAGGAGUUGGUGAGAUGGGUCAGCGUGCUUGCUGUCAAGCCUGACACCGGAGUUCUAUCCCCUGGACCCAAGUGAUGAAAGAAAAGAAGUGACUUAUGCAAGUUGUCCUCUGACCUCCACAAUAUGCCCAAGUACGUGUAUAACCACACAAGCAUAAUCCUUUUAAAAAAUCUCAAACACCGGGGUCUGGAGAGAUGGCGCAGUGGUUGAGAGCACCGGCUGCUCUUCCAGAGGACCUGGGUUCAAUUCCCAGCACCCACAAGGCAGCUCACAGCUAUCUGUAACUCCAGUUCCAGGGGAUCUGACACCUUCACAACAAUAUACAUAAAAUAAAGUUAAAUAAAUUAUUUAAAAAAAAAUCUCAAACACCAAGGUCCCCAGGCCCUGUGUGGCAUGGCUGAGCUGCUCUGCCUCAGCUUCUUCAUCUCCCACCAGGGUUAGCUCAGCCCCUCCCCUGAAGGCUGCAGGGAGGAUUAAAUGUAUUUAUCAUCUUAAGCAUGCAGGACACCAGGACCAGAGCGAGGGCCACGCAGGGUAUGUUAUUAUCAUCAUCACUCUUGCUGCAGUUAGAACUGCCGAGGAUCCCACUAGUCAGCACAACUUUCAGGCAAGACCAACCAGGAGGGGCAGUGCAAGCCAGGCAGGGGCUUGGACCACGGAGGGGUGCUUAGCUAGGUCUCUAGCCUCUGCCAAGGACAGGGGACUUUCAGUUUUUGCAAGUCAGCGACAACAGGCCAGCAGGAAAACCAAAUAGUCCUGUUCUUUCCCUUCGGAAGCCUAGUCAAAAAACAGAACACAGGUGUUUGCCCCAGAAAUGCCAUUUCUGGGCAGGAUGCCCAGGGCAGAGAAUCACAGAUGUACAGAAAUCACACUCAGACUCUCUGGCCAGAGGUGUGAGAGGGACAAGGCAGAAGUUAGACUACCAGAAUGUCUAGUGACCAAGGGGGACGGUUAUCAUUUAGCCUCCCUUUCCCCCAUAGGGACUGGGUAGAGAAAGUAGAGUUCCAGGUCCAGGGAUCUGGGACAAGUGUGAGCAAGGCUUUGCCCAUGCCUGACAUACAGCAGUCCUAGCUCCCAGAUCUUCAGGGAGGAGAGGCAGAGCUAGGUAGAAACCAGGUCUUGGCUGGGUUAGAGGGUCUACAGGGGCUCCCAGAGAUGCUGGGCUAGGGUGGGCAGGUUGGGAAGCUGUGGGGAGAUAGUAAUAGGAUAGGAAGCAGACAGAUCCAAAGACAAGACUGGAAGGGAAUGGGCUGCGACUAAGGCCUUUUCUAAUGGCCACAUGGGCAUGGCCAGAAUUCAUGCUGGUCUCCAGACCUGGAUCCAGUCCCUGGAUCUGGGACCACUAAGGCUAAGUACUCUCUGCUAAGAGCACUUGGACUUCCCCUAGGCCUCAGGACCAAGUGAAGGAGGGUGUCCCCUGGAAAGAGAGGAGAGACAGGGAAACAGAAGAGGCUACUGGUAAGGGGUCUGCUGCUGGAGUGGAAAAAAAACUUGGCCUGGUCCCACCUUGUCCUGGCAGCCCUUAGACCCCCCAAAGGGUUUCAGGACUGGCCCUCUUGGGCUAGACACAGGCCCCUGGGCUCCUCUUGAGUACUGUAGCCAAGUUGUCCAAGAUGAAGCCAAAACUGAGGGUUCACGUCUGAGGGCCAGGUCUCUCCAGGUCAUUAUUGUCAUCAGACUGGGCAAUGACUAUAUGAAGGUGGCCUGCCCAAGGUCUCUCAGUGAAUUGGCAGCGGCUGUUCCCUGAAAGGUGCUCUUCAGCAAGGAUGGGGAGGUCCUAUCUAAAUGACCAUCACUGUAGCUCACACUCCUAAGUCUGAGAGGGGCCAUCAGGGUUGUGCUUUUCCGGGAAAGGGAAGGAAGGGGAGGGAAGACGCUGAGGAUCCACCUCUCCUGGGUGCUCAGUGUGUCUUAUAGGGAAGGUGGCACAGGUUCCCCUCAGGCAAUAUGAGGAGGUAUUGAGACCCAUACACAAGCCCUGGGGUGUGCUGUGGUGUGGUGUGGUGUGGUGUGUGUGUGUGUGUGUGUGUGUGUGUGUGUGUGUGUGUGUGUGUGUGUGUGUGUGUGUUCGUGUGUAUGUACACAUGCGUGGGUAGACCAGAGGUCAGUGUAGGGUGUCUUUUGCAAUUGCUCUUUCGCUCUAUUUUUUUGAGACAGAGUCUGUUACUGGCCAGUGAAUCACACACCAAUUCGACUAGAGUGGUUCGGCUAGCAGGCUCGAGGGAUCUCUUGCCUCUGCCUUCCUAGCUGGGACAGCUGGUACACACUACAGUGACUGGCAUUUAUACGGAUGCUGGGGAUUGGAAUUCAGGUCCUCAUGGCUAAACCAUCUCAUUUUCCUAGCCCCAAGAACCAUCUCCUAAGGCUUGGACCCAUGAGGCUGGCAGUCAGGAUUCAGGCUCUGGACAUAGAGCAAACAAGUUGGGACCCUCUGCUCACAUGUGACAUCCACUUCCACAGGGCCAAGUCCUCUCACUGUCAGCUCCUGGCCACGUGAUCCAGCCCUUCUGACCCACCCUGAAUGACCACCUAGCCUCCUCCUCAUCCUGACCUGAACACUUGCUCUUCAGGCCACUUUCUACACAGCAACUAGGACAUCUGACAGUGCCGAUUAGACCCUGACAUCCUUGAACCGGAAGUUACUCCGGGGCCUUUUGGCCUCUUAAGAGGUCUCCUGUGGAAGGGAAUUGCUCCCAUUGCUCCACCUCCAGGCCCUCAGGUGAGAGGGUAUGUGGCCAGAGAGCACAGAAGCCCUGCUGCAGACAGUGUCCUUGGAGGUGUGUCACAGAAGCCCUGGAGAGGGGGCUGCCCACCUAGGCAAGGUGGAUUCCUCAUGUGGCCCAGUUAAGAGACAAUGAGGAUAAGGCCCCUAGAGCUUUUAAAUGCUGGGAUUUAAUGUCCAGGUCUGGGAAGGCUGAUGUCACUCAAGGCAUACACAAUGAGAGGAGGUUGCAGAGACAGGCUCUCUCCUUCAUCAGUAUGGGACCUGCUUGGACCUGUUCAGCCUGAGAAAUGAGGAGGCCUGGCGCAUGCUCAUGAGUGAGUGUGUCUGGCCUCUCACAGGGCCCGAGGGAGAAAAGUCUCCAGACUGAUGGAGAAGGCAGGGCGUUGAGAAAAGACAGCAGGGUGAGGAGUGACUUACUCCCUUGUAACCCUCUGCCCCACUGUGAAGCUUCCUUGGGUCUGCUAGGUCUCUGGCAUCAGACAGGUCCAGUCCAGGGAGGCUUCAGAGACAGAAAAAUGCUGUGUCUUAGUGCACAAAACAAGCAGGGAGAAAGGUGUCAAGAGCCAGAAACAGAUGCUCUUUCUGUACCAGGGCUCCUGUUAACCUGCUCCUUAGGAAAGCCAGACUCCCACAGACCCCGUGGCUUCUGUUUGGUGUAGGUGUUGAUGACCCAGGUACAGCCAUACUGAGACACAGAAUCCCAGCACCUGAGUUUUCUGGGCAGUAACAGUGGCAGGGAGAGGCUAUGUCCCAUCGCGGCUUGCUGCCACCCACCACCCGCCCCAUUCAGGAGGCAUGAGUGUUUUUGAUCUUGAGGGUGGCAGAUAGGUAGAGUGGCCCCUAUCCUAAAGGCUGUCUCUCCCAUCUCAGGCUCAGAGGAGGACUCCCCUAGGGAAAUGUGCAUCUUUUAUGUGGUCUCCUUGUUCCCACACCCCCUCAAGGUGACUAGUCUAUAGUGCUUCAAGUUCCUCUUGGUAUCCAGCCUUAGUCACUCUUGCUAUUGCAAUUGGAUUCACUUAUCAGAAGGCAAGUUGAUGGCCCCAUUAUCCUGCCACCCAGGCUGACAUCACAGAGCUUUCCCUGGGGCAUGUUCCCAUUCCUGGGACUGCCCAGCCAGCACAGGAAAUGGCUGGUGCAUGAAUGUGCCAGUGAGUAAGUGGCUUGCUUGAUCCUUCUACCAUGAGAAUGCUAAAAAGCGGCAAAGCAAUGUAAUUCUUUGGGUUCCUGGGGAAUCGUCUGAAAGGGCAGGGACAGGGACCUUGUAGGGCUAAGGGUCAGGGGAG